rnacentral:rRNA from 1 species
CACACCGCCCGUCACAUCACGAAAGUGGGUUGUACUAGAAGUCCGCAGGCUAACCCGCAAGGGGGCAGCGGCCCAAGGUAUGACUCAUGAUUGGGGUG